rnacentral:rRNA from 1 species
CAAAGGAAUUGACGGGGCCGCACAAGCGGUGGAGCGUUGUGGUUUAAUUCGAUGCUACACGAAGAACCUUACCAAGGUUUGACAUGCAAGUGGUAGUGAUCUGAAAAGUGAACGACCUUCGGGGAGCUUGCACAGGUGCUGCAUGGCUGUCGUCAGCUCGUGUCGUGAGAUGUUCGGUUAAGUCCGCUAACCGAGCGCAACCCUCACUGUGUGUUAUACGUGUCACACGGGACUGCCGGUUUUAAGCCGGAGGAAGGCGAGGAUGACGUCAAGUCAGCAUGGCCUUUAUAUCUUGGGCUACACACACGCUACAAUGGUCUGUACAAUAGGUUGCCAAGCCGCGAGGCGGAGCCAAUCCUAAAAGCAGGCCUCAGUUCAGAUUGUAGGCUGCAACCCGCCUGCAUGAAGAUGGAGUUGCUAGUAACCGCAGGUCAGCUAUACUGCGGUGAAUACGUUCCCGGGUCUU